AUGGAAACCGAGGUCGCCGGCGAGGAGAACGCGUGCAGUAAUACCGAUGACGCCGUUGCCACCGAAGGAGAAGCCGACGCUGAUGAUCCCGCCGGCGAAGAGGCCGCCAAAGCUACUGCCGCAGAAGCUGGCGAGGGAUCCGGCGAUCGCACUGACGGCCCUGAGGCCGCAGGAGCGUCAGGCGCUACGCCGACCGCCGAUCCCUCCGCUGCUGCUGCAGCGCCAAGCUCCGAAGAGCCCCAGCCCGGCGCCUAUUUGAAGGCCGGUGACGGCAUCUUCAUCAAGCUCCCCUGGGCGUCAAGCUCCAGGGCGCCGGUCGAAGGAGAGAUCUUGGAUGGAGAGGUGCUCGCCUCCGCUGGGCUGACGCUGGUCGACGCGCCAAGCAGCAGCAGUGACGAGCCUGAGGAGUUGCGGCUGCUGCGGAAGCUGUUGUCGCUUUACCGCGCCCGACAGGCCAAGCUGGAAUCUCGAGAAGUGCUUAUCGCGAAGGCGGGAGUGGACAUCGAGAAGCACGUGGAGGAGCUCCGGGGUCUCAGGCAGGAAGCUCUCCGAUCCCUGGCAGAGGAGUGGGAGCAACUCACUGAGGAGCGGAAAGCCUUCCUCCUCGAGAAGGCUGAAGUUGAAGCGCAACAGCGGCUUGUUGCCAAAAAGCUAUCUGCGCAGGAAGGCAAGUUGGCGCAGUGCAAGGUCAACCUUGACAGCCACGAGGAGGAGCUGGCCGCGCGAGAGCAAGCAAUUGGCGGGGCUCUCAAGGAGGCAGAGGAUGCUGCCGCAGCUGCCGAGGCCGCCAAGAAGGAGCUGGAGACGAAGAUGGCGCAGCUGGAGGCCGAUCUCAAGGCGAGCGGCGAGGAGCUUGCUGCGCUCAAGCGUGAGCGCGAGAAGGACGCCGCCGCUCAUGGCGAGCUGCAGGGUCAUCUCGCUGAGAGGAGCAAAGAGCUUAGCGCCGCCAAGGACUCCAAUGCAGAUCUUGAGUUGAAGUUGGCUACUUUGACUCAGACGCUGGACAGCGCCAGGGAGCGGGAGGUGGCCUUGACGGAGAAGAUCAAGGCCGACGAGGCGCUGAUGGCGAGUGCUUCCGCCACCCAGGACACUUUCAGGGAGAACGUGGAGCACUGGAUGGAGGGUCUCGUGGAUGUUGCCGCCGCCAUCAACGGGGAGUUGGCGCAGCUGGGGAUGGAGGAUCUCGGGUACUCCUCCGAUGAGCACCUCCAACCCAGUGCCAAGGUCAGCUUGUUCUUCAAAGGCGUGGCGACGGCCCUCCAACGACUCCGGGAGAAGAUCCCAAAGUAG
rnacentral:rRNA from 1 species